rnacentral:misc_RNA from 1 species
GAUAGAAGCUUAUGACAAGGAUCGUAAGAAGGGGGCUGGGGCACUUUUAACUGCCGCAGAGACAUGCAAUCCUUCUGCCGAUUCUGCUCUUGGGCAAACACUGAUCUCCAUUGCUGGGACUGAGGAAGAAAUGGUCCCAAGAAGACUGAAGACUGAUCAAGACGAGGACCCUGUUGAGGAGGCCCCAGUUACUGGUGAAAAGAAGAAAGUAAAGAAGAAGAAGAAAACUAGUGAGGAGACGGCUUUAAUAACUAAUGGAAAUGA